CGCAUCUGUGCAUGCAGCAUAUCAAUAAGCGGAGGAAAAGAAACUAACAAGGAUUCCUCUAGUAACGGCGAGUGAAGCGGGAAGAGCUCAAAUUUGAAAUCUUAAAGGGUUUCCCUUUACGAAUUGUAGUUUAAAGAAGUGUUUUCUGUUGAGGUUUUGGUAAAAGUUCUUUGGAAUAGGACAUCAUAGAGGGUGAGAAUCCCGUAUUUGACCUUUACUUUCAACUUUGUGAUACACUUUCAAAGAGUACGGAUUGUUUGGGAAUGCAGUCCAAAAUGGGUGGUAAAUUUCAUCUAAAGCUAAAUAUUGGCGAGAGACCGAUAGCGAACAAGUACCGUGAGGGAAAGAUGAAAAGAACUUUGAAAAGAGAGUUAAACAGUACGUGAAAUUGUCAAAAGGGAAGCGUUUGACACCAGUGUUGUUUUUCUGAAAAUCAAUUAAAGAACUGUUUAUGCUAAGUUGUUUAGACUUUAUCAGCUAACUGUUUAGUUUUGAGCUUUUCUUUAAUGCACUUUUCAGUUAACAAGUCAACAUCAAUUUCUUUUGCUGUAAAAAAGCUUGAGGAAGGUGGACUUGAGAUUCGUCUUAAGUGUUUAUAGCCUCUUGCCUAUGCAGUCGGAGAGAUUGAGGUCUGCAGCGUAGAUCCUUCGGGGCUAAAUGCAUUUGUGCUAAGUUAUAGCAUUUUAUAGACAACUUGUUGACUAUGAUUUGUCUUGUAGCUUACUCGCUUAUGUUAUUUUACCUACGCUUAGGAUGUUGACGCGCACAGAGUCUC
rnacentral:rRNA from 1 species